rnacentral:rRNA from 1 species
GCGACCCCAGGUCCAGGCGGGACUA